AUUGAACGCUGGCGGCAUGCUUUACACAUGCAAGUCGAACGGCAGCACGGGCUUCGGCCUGGUGGCGAGUGGCGAACGGGUGAGUAAUGCAUCGGAACGUACCCAUUUGUGGGGGAUAACUACGCGAAAGCGUGGCUAAUACCGCAUACGCCCUGAGGGGGAAAGCGGGGGAGUUCUUCGGAACCUCGCGCAAAUGGAGCGGCCGAUGUCAGAUUAGCUUGUUGGUGAGGUAAAGGCUCACCAAGGCGACGAUCUGUAGCGGGUCUGAGAGGAUGAUCCGCCACACUGGGACUGAGACACGGCCCAGACUCCUACGGGAGGCAGCAGUGGGGGAAUUUUGGACAAUGGGGGCAACCCUGAUCCAGCCAUGCCGCGUGAGUGAAGAAGGCCU
rnacentral:rRNA from 1 species